AAGCACUGGGUGAGGUCGAGUGA
rnacentral:siRNA from 1 species